UCUCCCACUCUAUUUUGUUUCCUUCCCUCCUGUAUUUUCCCUUCCCUUCUAGGUAUCAUUUCACAAAUUAUCCAUUUGUGAUUUCUGAUUUUCUAGCUUCUAUUUCGUUACUUCUGAUAACAAUUCAUGGUUCUUAUCUUUCUACUUCGUUGGCUGAUGGCUUCAGAAGAAGCUUUACAGAACACUAAUAGUCGAUUGAAGCUAGAAGUGAAGGUCAUGCACAUAGCGAACAACGUUGAUUCUUCCAGUAGAAGGCUUCCAUUCUUGCACCAGAUUCAUUAGCUGAAGGAACUGAUACAAGAUUGGGAAAUAGAAGGGCGGAGGAGAGAAUUAUGAGAAUUGAAUUUACAUUUAUUUGAGCUUGGACCAUUCUUAAUGGACAGGAUUACCAUCACUAGACAUUGGUAUCUUAACUAUGAUAAAGUGACAGAGAAACAACCUACCAUAAGCAUUUCCGGUUGACAUUGCAUGCCAGAAAGAACACAACAGGAAUCAUGAACGUGCAUCAAGUUUCCCAAGCUAAAGACGGGAUAUUACUUAUGCUGCGAUGGUAGCUAAAUCUGAGAUUUUUUUUCCUUUCUUUUUUUUUUCUUCAGCCAAAUUAUAUGAGAAAAUAAAGAAUAUGAAGGAGUGUACCAAUGUAUGUAUGUCUGCACUUGGAGGGGAGAAAGGGAGUUGCUUUCUAAUUUGUUUUGCUGUAAAAAUCAGCUUCUGAAC